rnacentral:rRNA from 1 species
UCCUACGGGGCGCAGCAGUGGGGAAUAUUGGGCAAUGGGCGCAAGCCUGACCCAGCAACGCCGCGUGAAGGAAGAAGGCCCUCGGGUUGUAAACUUCUUUUAUCAAGGACGAAACAAAUGACGGUACUUGAUGAAUAAGCCACGGCUAACUACGUGCCAGCAGCCGCGGUAAUACGGAGGAUGCGAGCGUUAUCCGGAUUUAUUGGGUUUAAAGGGUGCGUAGGCGGAUUUUUAAGUCAGCGGUAAAAUGUCCGGGCUCAACCCGGGCCGGCCGUUGAAACUGGGGAUCUUGAGUGGGCGAGAAG